rnacentral:lncRNA from 1 species
AACAAUAUACUUGCCACCACCUAUAGAUCACCUUGGUUCAUUUUAAUAUGAACCAAACAAUAAUAGGAUAAUCAAAAAUUUUACCUAGCUAGGUGAUGUAGUAAUCACGAUGGCAAAUCCUCUUGAAAAGAGAAAGCUUAGCACACUUCGAGGAGGUGAAGAACUCGAGCGACCCAAGUGUAUGGCCUUCAAUGGUUUCACACAUAAUUGCACUUGAACUUUCAGUAAGGUGGGAGCUUUCAACUACUCUUUGUGCUAGCAAAAUGGACAAUAAUUAUCUUUUUCCUCACACAAUCAAUGGGCGAACCACACAUGAGAAUUUCUUCUCUCAAAAAUUCUUUUUCAAGGGGGAGGUUAGAGAGUUUACUAACAAUUUUCUGUCUAGGUUUUUUUUUCUCUUUUGUUUUUUUGUUUUUUUGACAACUAGGUUAUGUGAGGUGUAGUUAAAAGUGAUAUUUAUAUUUAAGUUAAAUAACUCCUUUAAUUCCAACUAAGGCCUCAAUAUUAUAACUCUUUAUAAUAUUGGCCCAAUACUUAAUUAAACCCUUUUAAUUAAGUCAUUGUAAAUUAAAAUCAAAUUAAUUUACUUUAUUCACCUGCAAUUAAGGCUUUAAUAUUAUAAUUAUUUAUAAUAUUUGCCUAAAACUUAAUUAAACUAUUUUAAUUAAAUCUUUUAGAAGUUAAAAGGCCUAAUGUAUGAUUUAAGUCCAACUUAAAUCAUCACACUCUUAAUUUAAUUCAUAAUGCAACUUAUUGUGUGUAACUCAUUAGGUUCUUUACAUAUUGGCAUUGGACUUGAAUUGAAAUCAUAAUUAAUUAAUUUAAAUGAAUCAUAUUCAUUAUAAAUUAGUUAAUUCAAUUCCAUAAACCAAGAUUGACAUCUAGCAAUGCAUUAUGGCCACCUAAUUGUUAGGAAAGUCAAAAGGUUUUUUGACACCUUUUCAAUUUAUAGUCUAUCAAUGUAAUUCAUUCUUUCAUCAUAUAUCCCAAAGAUGAUAAAAGUAUGGUGCAGUGUUUACUCUUAUUGAUCUCCAUAUUCAUUCUUAAGAUUAAAUGAUUACCUCUAUUGAGACUUAUGAAACUCUUUUCAUAAUCUCAAAGUCACGUUAGCCUAAGACUUCAAUAAGCUAAUAUUAACAAAGAACUAUUAAGAUAUGUCCCCUAAAUCACUUGGGGUGAUGAUCCUUAUCUUGACCACUCAUUUACCUUCACAUGCUUUAUGCUACAACCAACCAUAUCUUGAUUUGGCAUCCUUGGUAAGACCCGUAAGGAUAUGAUCAAAUAUAUAGCAUUCCACAUAUAAGACAAUCUAGUGUCUCAAGUCGAAGGAAUAUUUACAUGAUUAAUACAUGAGAAAUAUUUGCAUAAACAUUAGAGUGAGAUACCAAAUGCAUUUCUCAU